rnacentral:lncRNA from 1 species
GGCUUACCUGGGCCCUCUUCUCUGGGUUCCACAAGGCUGGACUCAAGAGUCAGCCUGCCUGUGUUCUCAUCUGGGAGUCUGGAGAAGAAUCAGCUUCCAACCUUACUCAGGGCAGGUGCAGAGGAUCCAGCAUGUUAUUCUGAAACCCCAGAAGACGCUGCAGCUACCAAAUAGAAGGAGCCUGGAUCCCUGAAUGUCUUCAUGGAACAGAACAUUCUCCUCACUCCAGUCUGUUUGAACCAGAAUAUGACCUGAGCAAGAAAUAAGCCUUAAUUAUAUUUGACCAUAGAAUUCUGGUGAUAUUUCUAUGGCUGUAAGUCCAUGUUGAUUAAUACAAAGGGAUGCUGUAAAGCCUCUUCUAUUAAAAAAAGUUGCCCAA